ACCUUACCUACCCUUGACAUGGUCGGAAUCCUGAAGAGAUUCGGGAGUGCUCGAAAGAGAACCGGCGCACAGGUGCUGCAUGGCUGUCGUCAGCUCGUGUCGUGAGAUGUUGGGUUAAGUCCCGCAACGAGCGCAACCCUUGUCCUUAGUUGCUACGCAAGAGCACUCUAAGGAGACUGCCGGUGACAAACCGGAGGAAGGUGGGGAUGACGUCAAGUCCUCAUGGCCCUUAUGGGUAGGGCUUCACACGUCAUACAAUGGUCGGAACAGAGGGUUGCCAACCCGCGAGGGGGAGCUAAUCCCAGAAAACCGAUCGUAGUCCGGAUUGCACUCUGCAACUCGAGUGCAUGAAGCUGGAAUCGCUAGUAAUCGCGGAUCAGCAUG
rnacentral:rRNA from 1 species